GGUCAUUUUUGGGGUUACUUUAGGUCAUUUUUGGGGUUACUCGAGGUCAUUUUGGGGUCACUGGGGUCAUUUUUGGGGUUACUUUAGGUCAUUUUUGGGG